rnacentral:rRNA from 1 species
UACGGGGGGGGUAAGCGUUGUUCGGAAUUACUGGGCGUAAAGGGCUCGUAGGCGGCCAACUAAGUCGGACGUGAAAUCCCUCAGCUUAACUGGGGAACUGCGUCCGAUACUGGAUGGCUUGGAUUUGGGAGAGGGAUGCGGAACUCCAGGUGUAGCGGUGAAAUGCGUAGAUAUCUGGAGGAACACCGGUGGCGAAGGCGGCAUCCUGGACCAACACUGACACUGAGGAGCGAAAGCCAGGGGAGCAAACGGG